CAUGGUCUUAGCUUGCUAAGGCCGAUGGCGACCGGCGCACGGGUGAGUAACGCGUAUCCCACUCUGCCGUCUACUCUUGGACAGCCUUCUGAAAGGAAGAUUAAUACAAGAUGGCAUCAUGAGUUCACAUGUUCACAUGAUUAAAGGUAUUCCGGUAGACGAUGGGGAUGCGUUCCAUUAGAUAGUAGGCGGGGUAACGGCCCACCUAGUCUUCGAUGGAUAGGGGUUCUGAGAGGAAGGUCCCCCACAUUGGAACUGAGACACGGUCCAAACUCCUACGGGAGGCAGCAGUGAGGAAUAUUGGUCAAUGGGCGCAGGCCUGAACCAGCCAAGUAGCGUGAAGGAUGACUGCCCUAUGGGUUGUAAACUUCUUUUAUAAAGGAAUAAAGUCGGGUAUGCAUACCCGUUUGCAUGUACUUUAUGAAUAAGGAUCGGCCAACUCCGUGCCAGCAGCCGCGGUAAUACGGAGGAUCCGAGCGUUAUCCGGAUUUAUUGGGUUUAAAGGGAGCGUAGAUGGAUGUUUAAGUCAGUUGUGAAAGUUUGCGGCUCAACCGUAAAAUUGCAGUUGAUACUGGAUAUCUUGAGUGCAGUUGAGGCAGGCGGAAUUCGUGGUGUAGCGGUGAAAUGCUUAGAUAUCACGAAGAACUCCGAUUG
rnacentral:rRNA from 1 species